GUGGGGAAUCUUGCGCAAUGGGCGAAAGCCUGACGCAGCCAUGCCGCGUGAAUGAUGAAGGUCUUAGGAUUGUAAAAUUCUUUCACCGGGGACGAUAAUGACGGUACCCGGAGAAGAAGCCCCGGCUAACUUCGUGCCAGCAGCCGCGGUAAUACGAAGGGGGCUAGCGUUGCUCGGAAUUACUGGGCGUAAAGGGCGCGUAGGCGGACAGUUUAGUCAGAGGUGAAAGCCCAGGGCUCAACCUUGGAAUUGCCUUUGAUACUGACUGUCUUGAGUACGGGAGAGGUGAGUGGAACUCCGAGUGUAGAGGUGAAAUUCGUAGAUAUUCGGAAGAACACCAGUGGCGAAGGCGACUCACUGGCCCGUUACUGACGCUGAGGCGCGAAAGCGUGGGGAGCAAACAGGAUUAGAAACCCUGGUAGUCC
rnacentral:rRNA from 1 species